AAAGGUUUAAAGCUUGCCCCCAUUCUGAUAAUCGCGUCCAUGGUUCCACUCAUUCCUUUUCUACGUUAUCAAGCCUCGUCCCGAACGGAAUGUCAAUACCUGCUUUCAACAUUAGAAUCAAUCAUCAAUCGUAAUUAAAAUCUAAAAAACUUGAUACAGAGGAAAUUCAAAUCAAUCAAUAGAGGUGAAAGGUUUUUCUUAUCGUUAGCAAGGAAUAUAUACGCGUCGAUGGUACCAAGCGACGUCCCUCAUAGAACGUCAACACUCUUGCCCUAAUUUUAAUGCGUGCGUCCAUGGCUUCUCUACUAUAAUCUCAAGGCUUUUUGUUCAAUUCCCACAGACGGCGCCAACUGUUGGUGCAAAAAAAUUCAGAAGAGAGAUUUCCCAACAAAGAUCUCACUCCUUUGAUUCUUGAGGAGCCUUGGACGCAUCCGUAUUACGAUUGAUCAUGGGGAGAAGGUACCUGCAAAACAAAUACACACUCCGACGCCCAAGUCAAUUUCGAUUCAAGCAGGUACAAUAAAAGAAAUCGGUUCGAUACUAUUACCGUUGUUAUCCAUGAUUGUUCCUCUCCAUUCCCCUCCAUUCCUCUCCAUAAGCGUGUGAAUUUAUAGACCUUUUAUUUCUUGGUCCUCACUUCCCGUUGUAGUGGGAGUAGUGGGAGGAGCAUGUUCUCCAUUAACGAUCAUGUUUCACGUUGUUUAUCAUGAUAGUGUUCAUCUUGGGCUUUGACCAUCGAUCGGGUCUAAUUAAUUAAAUGGGGGUCCAAGCCGAAAUUUUAUAUCCCCACACUCUCUCUGCGCCGGGCACCUUAAAUUCUGAUUUCAUCUCCCAUCAUAUUCAACCUCGAGCUACUUCUACAGUCCUACUCGAGUAGUUCUUCAUCUCCUUCGCCCACUUGAAGCACUGUAUGUAUCUCAGUCUUCAAUUCUCCUUCGGCAGAGCUCUGGACACAGCUACACCCAAAGGAGAACGGGUACAAACCAUCUUAAGCAUCUUGAGUGUUGGUUCAAUUUUUGAUUAAUGGCUGGAAUGGGUUUCUUCCAAAUUGAAGCUCAAUUCCAUCACCAGUAUUCUCUCAUCUCUCAAAUGGCUUCUCUUUUUUUUUUUUUUUUUUUUUUUUCUUCUUCGUAUGGGUUACUCACAUGAUGCAGCCUUAAAUAGAAUCAUAGCAAAUUUGUUGAUCAAAUUUACUUACUUUUAUUGUUCGAGUUCACAGUAUUGAUUAAAUUUCUUUGUUUUUUUGUUGUUGUUUAAGUUCAUCAGUUGACGGGAACUCUCAAAAGAGAAAGAGAAAGAGGACGUCAUACGGUUUGAUGUGUUUUGUAAAAGAUGAACAUGAAUGAUUUUUCUUUUUUGGUCAGAGAACAUGAAUUUAUUCAAGACAUAAACAAUUUGUUUUUCUUAGUUUCCUUUUGCUGUAUGGGAAAACUGAAGAUGGAGUUUGGGAGGAGAGAUUACCUGUUAGUGGAGUGGGUAUGUAAACCCAAAUGAAUGAUAGUCAAACUAGUCUCUCCAAGGAAAAAGUGCCUGAAAAUAUCUCCUUCUCUCUCUAGAGAAAAACUUUCUUUUCUUUGAGAAAGAACCCAGGUCUUCCCCUCUUCCCCUCUCUCUCGUCAAGGAUCUAGAUCUCAGAUCUGGAUCUUUGGCUUGAGAGUAGUGGGAGUUUCCUCUGCCUCGAUGAUGGCGGGUCCCUUUUUUCUUUUGCUUUUGUUUUCCUCUACUGCUCAAAUCCCUUCCGAUCUUUCCUAGCCUUUCGAUUUUGGAUUUCCCAUCUCUUUCAACCUUCUCCAAUACACCAGAUCUUUGAUUCUUCAUGCCUAAGAUGCACAUCCUCCUUCAGCAGACCUAACUUCACCGAUUGUUCGUUGGUCCUUCGGAGCUCCGAUGCCGGCGUCGUUUGGAUCGUCUGUUUCAAAAGGGUUUUCCCGUUAUUGCACGUAAAUCCGAUGGUCUCGAUAGUGCCAAAAGAGGCUGCUUGUCUGUCUCUACUUUGAUUCCUUUGCGGAUCGACUCUUUCUCUCUCAUCUCUUCUUCUUUUUUGUACUUUUUUGGUUCUGAUGUUAGUUUUAGAGGAUGUUUUGUAUGGUUCAAAGAUAUGGGUUAUGGAGAUCCUUGUAGGGGUUAUAUUCUUCUGUUCUUGUAUGGGAUUGUAUUGGUUGAUUUUCGAGUUUUCUUCGGCAGAUCUAGUGAUGGUCCUGGGUUAUGUUUGGGUGGUGAUGGUGGCGUCAGCGUCUCCAUACCCCUUGCUCCUGAUUAAUCUGCUCCUGUGGAUGAAGCUUGUUGAUGCUAUGAUGUUCUGGGUUUAUGUAUGGGUUUAUGUAUCUAACUCCAUGAGUGAGUCUUGUUUUUAAUUUUUGUAUUCAAUUCUGUUGAAUAAAAAUAUCCUGCCUUUGCCACACAAAAAAAAAACCCAAAUGAAUGAUGAAUCGAUGUAGGUUUUUGUGAAUUGAAAAGUCAAAUAGCUAGGUUUUAAUAGGUAAUUAAGAUUGUUUUUUGUUUUUUAUUUCAUUAUUCAUUUUUGUUUGGAAUUUAUUUAUUUUAGGGUUUGAUGGGUGAAAAUGUCUAUCUUGCCCUUAACUUUCGACUCAACUUAAUCACAUAUGGUCAGCAUUAACGUUGAUGUGACGGAAGUGAACUGUAGGUACUAUAAAAAUAUGAAAAUAUGAGUCUGGGUACUAUUUUGAUAACUUUGUAAGUUCAGGUAUCAUAUUGUCAAUCAUUCAAGUCUCCAAACACCGUUGGUGCAAAAAAUCCCAUUAACAAUGGGUGCUGAAAUCUACACACCUUUUUUUACAAACCACACACCCUUUGUUUUUUUAAUAAUAUCAUACCUCACAUCCUUUUAUACUUCCUGCUGUUGUAAAUAUUAUAAUAUAUGUGGAUGUCCUUGUAAAUACUCAUUAGUAUGUCCUUAAUAUGUAAAUCAUACUCCUAUAUAAAGGAGCCUAAUGAAAAUGAAAGUGACACUUCUUUCUCCUCCUACAUUUUGUUCUUCUCUUUUCUCUCUAUCUCAUUCUUAGUUUAUAACACGUUAUCAGCACGUUUUCGCUCAUUCGUUUCAUAAACUCCAUGACGAUCUAUGAGAUAUUGGUGCAACUUUUGUUGCUUAUUAUCCAUACUCACGAUCUAUG
rnacentral:lncRNA from 1 species